GAUGAACGCUGGCGGCGUGCCUAAUACAUGCAAGUCGAGCGAACAGACGAGGAGCUUGCUCCUCUGACGUUAGCGGCGGACGGGUGAGUAACACGUGGAUAACCUACCUAUAAGACUGGGAUAACUUCGGGAAACCGGAGCUAAUACCGGAUAAUAUAUUGAACCGCAUGGUUCAAUAGUGAAAGACGGUUUUGCUGUCACUUAUCGAUGGAUCCGCGCCGCAUUAGCUAGUUGGUAAGGUAACGGCUUACCAAGGCAACGAUGCGUAGCCGACCUGGGAGGGUGAUCGGCCACACUGGAACUGAGACACGGUCAAGACUCCUACGGGAGGCAGCAGUAGGGAAUCUUCCGCAAUGGGCGAAAGCUUGACGGAGCAACGCCGCGUGAGUGAUGAAGGUCUUCGGAUCGUUAAACUCUGUUAUUAGGGAAGAACAAAUGUGUAAGUAACUAUGCACGUCUUGACGGUACCUAAUCAGAAAGCCACGGCUAACUACGUG
rnacentral:rRNA from 1 species